ensembl:lncRNA
AAUGAUGUGCAUAGAGGCACUUGACCUGUGUGAAAGACUGUCAUCUUAUUAUGAACCAUUGUUGAGAUGUAGAGCACACCUGUGAAAACAACUAAUAUGCUGAACCCUGUAUGAAACAUCUAAAAGUACAUGAUGGAGAAGCUGUGUUGAAUAUGAAAGUGUAAGACUUUGCCGCUGUGGGCAGAGCAACUACUGUGUGAUGUUGCGUUGCGGUUUUUUUUUCUUCUGAGCUGAUGAGCAAGCUACACAUUAUCAGAUCAAGAGCUGUCUGAGAACUACUCAAAGAGAGGGAAACAGAGCUAUGAGUGUGCAGCGUUCCCGUGAGCAGUUUUCCUGCACCUUGACUCGUGUGUGUGUAGCAUCAGCAUCAUGUUUUUGUUUAUUUGUUUUUUUGGGUUAAUAAUAAUUAAAUAAACUGGUGAUCAUAUUUAUGGAUCACCAUGGCACAUAUCAUCAGUCAUGUGAUUUAUUUACGCAGAUCACAAAGUGAGUGUGAAUGUGUCUGACAUCACAGUGUUUUUGUGCACUGUGCAAAAGUAAUUGCCUUUGAUUGUGAGUGACAGCGGUGAUUUUGCAGGUCGCCAGCUAUUGUAAAAAAAAAAAAAAAAAGAGUGAAUAAGAGGGAGAAUUUAUAUUGUAGGAAAAGAAAAUCAUAGGAAAAAGGUUUUGUGUUGAUCAACCAAAAAAAACAACUAUAAUUUCAUUUUCUGCUUUUAAGAAAGGAUUGUUCACAAAAACACAGAGAGAGAGAGAGAGAGAGAGAGAGAGAGAGAGAGAGAGAGAGAGAGAGAGAGAGAGAGAGAUGUGUGUUGAUUAAGCAGUGAUGAUAAUAAUGAACAUGUCUUAGUUUGUCACUUUCAGGUGAAAAGCAGACCUGAAUCAAUUUUCCACAUGCAGCGGUCGGAAGAAAGUUAUAGUUUAACAUCAUUGGAAACAUGCAGGCCAAGUUUCUGGCUGACUUAUUUACAGCGCCAUGUGUCUCUCAACCUCACAAGCAAGUGCUCACUCCUCCCUGAGGAAUGCAGCUCCAAAGAGCAAUAACAUGGCAGAUAAAGACAGCAGCAAGUCCUGAGCAAAGAGUCCCAGCAAAGCAGCAGCAAUGUGGACAGACAGCAUCAAAGAAGAAGAGCAAACCCAUCAUCCUGACUGAUCGGAUGAAUGGCACUGUGUCUACAACAAGCUGAAACUUCACUGUGCAUGUGAAGAAAACGUUUGAGGAGAACUGAACAGUUGGAGUUUGACAUUUGCCACCUGUGGAGUAAAAUGGCAAGAAGAGACAGUGGAACACAGGACAAAGCUGAAGGAUAACUGCCGGCUGUGGACUGUUAAAGUGGGAGAGGACAACAGAGUGAGAUGACAAUAGAGUGAGAGUGGUGCAGCAGUGAGAAGCGAGAAACAUUCCAGGCAUAGCCCAGGCAGUGGUUGAGGUCAAAGGUCAAGCUGGUUGGGGCCCAUCAUGAGAUCAGACCUUGGAGCCACA